UGAGUCCCCGGAGUGGGAAGAGGUGGCAGG
rnacentral:piRNA from 1 species